rnacentral:miRNA from 1 species
UUCAAAGCAUCUUUGAAGGAA